GUCGGAAACCUUCUAGCUCCAGUUUACCUCCUCCUCUAUCCCUUAUCUUGGCAUUAGAAUCACUGCACUGCCAUCAGACCUUACCACCAAUUACCCUCUAAUUUACUCUGUCUUAAAAAGAGACAUCCAGAAUUUGGAUAAAUACGCCAUCUCCUGGGUGGGCAGAGUACACACCAUUAAGAUGAAUAUAAUGCUGUGUCUAGUUUACCUAUUUCAGAC